GACGAACGCUGGCGGCGUGCUUAACACAUGCAAGUCGAACGGAAAGGCCCUGCUUUUGUGGGGUGCUCGAGUGGCGAACGGGUGAGUAACACGUGAGUAACCUGCCCUUGACUUUGGGAUAACUUCAGGAAACUGGGGCUAAUACCGGAUAGGAGCUCCUGCUGCAUGGUGGGGGUUGGAAAGUUUCGGCGGUUGGGGAUGGACUCGCGGCUUAUCAGCUUGUUGGUGGGGUAGUGGCUUACCAAGGCUUUGACGGGUAGCCGGCCUGAGAGGGUGACCGGCCACAUUGGGACUGAGAUACGGCCCAGACUCCUACGGGACGCAGCAGUGGGGAAUAUUGCACAAUGGGCGGAAGCCUGAUGCAGCAACGCCGCGUGCGGGAUGACGGCCUUCGGGUUGUAAACCGCUUUCGCCUGCGACGAAGCGUGAGUGACGGUAAUGGGUAAAGAAGCACCGGCUAACUACGUG
rnacentral:rRNA from 1 species